GCUUAUGCCUUGUUGGUUAGCUCUGUUGGUUAGAGUGUGGUGCUUAUAAUGCCAAGGUCAUGGGUUGAUCCCAUGUAUGGAUGCA